ACUCUCCCACUGGUGCGUUUGGGAAAUAAACUGCUCUGGAUAGUGCUUGGAAGCCAGCUGACCUUAAGAAUUACGCAUGCCCAGUCUGCCUCUUCACACUGUCCAUCCUGGAGAGGCAAGUCCUCUAGCGGGGAGCCGUGUGGCGGCUGGUGGUUGAUUGGGAGAAGAAUGUCAUAUUCUGGCCCCCUUCCAGCCCUAUGAGGGUACUUGGCUCCAGCAAGUCUUGGUCUGGAACUGAAACACUAUCUCCAUGGUAUGCCUGUACUUGAAAUAAAUUUAGGAAGUCGAUUGCAUCAUUGAUUCAACAUACAGCCUCCCAGAGGAUCUCAUUCUCCGGGUCUCAAAGGCCAGCCUAGCUCCAUUUGCAACACCACCAAAUUUCUCUCUGAUACUUUACUGAGUAAAAACACAAACACACAUGCAAUUGAUUUUUUUUAUUUCUUUUCAAGAAAGACUGGCUUCCGAAAACCCAUUACUGACUCAGCUUAUAUUUAAACAGAAACCACAACGUUUUACCAAAGGCUUUCAUGCAAGAGAUCAAUCUUGCACAUAAAUAGGACUAUAUAAAAAAUGAGAAAAACAUUACUGAUAAAAACAAGAUUUCAUAUUGCAUCAAAUAAGAAAU